rnacentral:rRNA from 1 species
UACGAAGGGGGCUAGCGUUGCUCGGAAUUACUGGGCGUAAAGGUAGCGUAGGCGGAUAGUUUAGUCAGAGGUGAAAGCCCAGGGCUCAACCUUGGAAUUGCCUUUGAUACUGGCUAUCUUGAGUACGGAAGAGGUAUGUGGAACUCCGAGUGUAGAGGUGAAAUUCGUAGAUAUUCGGAAGAACACCAGUGGCGAAGGCGACAUACUGGUCCGUUACUGACGCUGAGGCUCGAAAGCGUGGGGAGCAAACAGG